rnacentral:rRNA from 1 species
UACAGAGGGUGCAAGCGUUAAUCGGAAUUACUGGGCGUAAAGCGUGUGUAGAUGGUUUGCUAAGUCAGGUGUGAAAUCCCUGGGCUCAACCUAGGAAUUGCAUUUGAUACUGGCAGACUAGAGUGCGGUAGAGGAUGGUGGAAUUCCCGGUGUAGCGGUGAAAUGCGUAGAUAUCGGGAGGAACAUCAGUGGCGAAGGCGGCCAUCUGGACUGACACUGACACUGAGACACGAAAGCGUGGGGAGCAAACAGG